rnacentral:rRNA from 1 species
GAGGGUGAUCGGCCACAUUGGAACUGAGACACGGUCCAAACUCCUACGGGAGGCAGCAGUGGGGAAUAUUGCACAAUGGGCGAAAGCCUGAUGCAGCAACGCCGCGUGAGUGCUGAAGGCCUUCGGGUCGUAAAACUCUGUCCUCAAGGAAGAUAAUGACGGUACUUGAGGAGGAAGCCCCGGCUAACUACGUGCCAGCAGCCGCGGU